rnacentral:rRNA from 1 species
GACGAACGCUGGCGGCGUGCCUAACACAUGCAAGUCGAACGGAAGGGCCCUGCUUUCGUGUGGUGCUAGAGUGGCGAACGGGUGUGUAACACGUGAGUAAGCUGCGCUUGACUUUGGGAUAUCUUCAGGAAACCGGUGCUAAUACCGGAGAGGUGCUGCUGCUGCAUGGUGGGGGUUGGAAAGUUUCGGCGGUUGGGGCUGGACUCGCGGCUUAUGAGCUUGUUGGUGGAGGAGUGGCCUACCGAGGCUUUGACUGAUAGCCGGCCUGAGAGGGUAACCGGCGACAAGGGGACUGAGGGAGGGCGCAGUGUGGAACGUUAGGCAGCGGGGGAGAGUAUUACACAAUGAUGGGAAGUGUGUUACAGCGAUGCCGCGAUCGUGAUGAAGGCUUAGUGGGGGGAAACCGCAGUCGCCUGUGACGAAGCGUGUGUGACGGUACUAGCUAAAGAAGCACCGGCUAACUACGUG